AUUUGAUGGAUUUGUUGACUCAAUUUGACUUACUUGUCAGGCAUGAUCCUGUCUGUUUAUGUGCAUAUUUCCCUAUUUUUUAACCCGACAUUAUAUUUUUUACAUGUUUCUUCAAUAGAUUUCUCCUUCUCGUGGAAAUGGAAAAGCCUCUAGAAAUUUUCUAUAUUUGGAGAAGGAUGCUUAAAUUCA